rnacentral:rRNA from 1 species
GACGAACGCUGGCGGCGUGCUUAACACAUGCAAGUCGAACGAAGUGGCGAACGGGUGAGUAACGCGUAAUCAACCUGCCCUUCAGAGGGGGACAACAGUUGGAAACGACUGCUAAUAACGCAUACUGAAGGAGGGGAUUGCGUCUGAUUAGCUAGUUGGAGGGGUAACGGCCCACCAAGGCGAUGAUCAGUAGCCGGUCUUAGAGGAGUCACGUCCACAUUGGGACUGGGACACGGCCCAGACUCCUACGGGCGGCAGCAGUGCGGACUCUUCCGCAAUGGACGAAAGUCUGACGUAGCAACGCCGCGUGAGUGAUGACGGCCUUCGGGUUGUAAAGCUCUGUUAAUCGGGACGCGGUACCGGAAUAGAAAGCCACGGCUAACUACGUGCCAGCAGCCGCGGUAAUAC